UACGUAGGUGACAAGCGUUGUUCGGAAUUACUGGGCGUAAAGCGCGUGUAGGCGGCUCUUCAAGUCAGACGUGAAAGCCCCGGGCUUAACUCGGGAACUGCGUUUGAUACUGUCGAGCUAGAGUGUGGAAGGGGCGAUUGGAAUUCCGUGUGUAGCGGUGAAAUGCGUAGAUAUACGGAGGAACACCAGAGGCGAAGGCGGAUCGCUGGGCCAACACUGACGCUGAGACGCGAAAGCUAGGGGAGCAAACGGG
rnacentral:rRNA from 1 species